UACGGAAGGCAGCAGGGGGAAUAUUGCACAAUGGGCGCAAGCCUGAUGCAGCCAUGCCGCGUGUAUGAAGAAGGCCUUCGGGUUGUAAAGUACUUUCAGUCGUGAGGAAGGUGUUAAGGUUAAUAACCUUAGCAAUUGACGUUAGCGACAGAAGAAGCACCGGCUAACUCCGUGCCAGCAGCCGCGGUAAUACGGAGGGUGCGAGCGUUAAUCGGAAUUACUGGGCGUAAAGGGCACGCAGGCGGUUAAUUAAGUUGGAUGUGAAAUCCCCGGGCUUAACCUGGGAAUGGCAUUCAAGACUGGUUAGCUAGAGUCUUGUAGAGGGGGUAGAAUUCCAGGUGUAGCGGUGAAAUGCGUAGAGAUGUGGAGGAAUACCGGUGGCGAAGGCGGCCCCUGGACAAAGACUGACGCUCAUGUGCGAAAGCGUGGGGAGCAAACAGGGAUUAGAUACC
rnacentral:rRNA from 1 species